AGCGAACGCUGGCGGCAGGCUUAACACAUGCAAGUCGAACGCCCCGCAAGGGGAGUGGCAGACGGGUGAGGAACACGUGGGAACAUACCUUUCAGUUCGGAAUAACUCAGGGAAACUUGUGCUAAUACCGGAUACGUCCGCAAGGAGAAAGAUUUAUCGCUGAAAGAUUGGCCCGCGUCUGAUUAGCUAGUUGGUGAGGUAAUGGCUCACCAAGGCGACGAUCAGUAGCUGGUCUGAGAGGAUGAUCAGCCACACUGGGACUGAGACACGGCCCAGACUCCUACGGGAGGCAGCAGUGGGGAAUAUUGGACAAUGGGCGAAAGCCUGAUCCAGCCAUGCCGCGUGUGUGAUGAAGGCCUUAGGGUUGUAAAGCACUUUUGUCCGGGAAGAUAAUGACUGUACCGGAAGAAUAAGCCCCGGCUAACUUCGUGCCAGCCGCCGCGGUAACAC
rnacentral:rRNA from 1 species